CCGGGGUCUGGGAGGCGGCGCGUAGACUGGGGUGGAGGUGCACGGAAUAGCGGGAGGGGAGUACUGCCGGCUACCACGGUUCUGACUCCCGCUGUCGGGGCGGGAGCUCGCUCGGUCCAAGGUCCCAGAGCCGGACCGCCGCCCUUGGACUUUGAGCGGGUGCGUGCGGCGGCCACGUGGGCGAGGAACGCGGGUCGGGCCGCCUCUCGAGUGGCGGCCUUGGUUCUUCCCGCGGGGCUGGGCUCGCCGGGGCCCGGAGCCCGCCGGGAAGAGUUCGGAAAUCACACGUGUGCUGUUUCCCGCUCUGUGCCUUCCCUGUUUGAAUUCUCUUAGGAAUCUCUAACUUCAUUGAGGACACGGGUGUAAGCAGAAGCUGUGUUCUCAGCUCCAAGAGGCAAAGCCCACGAAAGCCUAGGCAGGUGAAUUUCCUAAAGGCGUUGACAGUUGGAAAACCUGUGUUUUCAGCACGUGAUAAAUCUGCGUAGUCAGCAGACAAUGAAGAUUUGGCAUUCAAGAACUACUCAACUACUUAUCGAUAAUACCUAUUAUGAGCCUGCCUUGAUAGACCGAACUUGCUCAUAUUUAAAUCAUCAAGAUAGAGGAAAGAAUGUAACAACUUUUAAAAAUGUUUCUUAACCCGUAAAUACUUGGAUAAGGUAUGUUAUAUUGGACCAUGGAACUUUUUCGCAGGGAGGGGAGAAGAAAGCAAAAGUAAAGUUUGAAUUUACAUUCAACCUUAAUUUGAUUGUGUAUAUUUGUCACCAAAUAAAUUAGUGCAAAGUUGACCAUACAACUGAUUAUGCAACAGUGAGUGUAACCGACUUUUCUUUUGGCUAAGCCAAUGGUGACUAAAGAAGGUCCUUCUGUUGCUCUGUCUUCACGUCAUCAGGGGGUCAUACUACCUGUAUUUUUAGACCAAUAUGAAAUACCCUUUUUUUUUUUUUUCCCUGAGACGAUCUCGCCCUGUCGUCCAGGCUGGAGUGCAGCAGUGCAAUCAUGCCUCACUGCAGCCUUGAUCUCCUGGGCUGAAGCUAUCCUCCCACCUCAGUCUCCCCAGUAGCAGGGACAAGAGGUACAGGUCACCACACCUGAUUACUGACCCUUUUUUUUUAAAUUAGCAGUAACAAUAAAGAGCUUUUUUCACAAUUGC